rnacentral:lncRNA from 10 species
CUUAGUCCCAGCUACAUGGGAGGCUGGGGUGGAAGGGUCACUUGAGCCCAGGAGUUUGAGGCUGCAGUCAGCUAAGAUGAUGCCACUGCACUCCAACCCUGGGUGACAGAGUGAGACUCUAUCUCUAAAAAUAAAUAGGUAAAUAAAUAAAUAAAAAUAAAGAAGAGGGGCCUCGUAUUUGACUUCCCAAGUAGAACCCUUGGAACUCAGCAAGAUCCCUGAGAAGAAAUGGCUGUGAAAUGUGCCUAUUAAGCAAGACCUUUUAUAAAUUUCAUAGAGUUAGUUUCCCAUGAUCUUGUUUGAUGUUAGAGCAACCGAUUCAGUGCUCUGUGGGUAAAUGUAGAGAAGAAAUCUAAGCUCCAAAGAUUUCUCUGUAUGCCAACAUAGCAUGGAAAUAGCAGAAUCAAAUAGCAAGGGAGACUUGAAGUAGCCUCAACAAUAAGAAUGAAUGAUGGUUUAAUAGCAGUCUACAAAGACUUACAACAAAGGACCAAAUGGGAUAUUUGCCAUUUUGUCAAAUGCCCAUAGAAGGGGUCACCUAUGGAAGACUAGAUGCUCAGUCCCCUCCAACCUUCUAGACAUUACAGGAAUUUAAGACUACCCAGGACAGGUGUGGUGGCUCACGCCUGUAAUCCCAGCACUUUGGGAGGCCGAGGCGGGUG